rnacentral:rRNA from 1 species
UCUACGGGAGGCAGCAGUGAGGAAUAUUGGUCAAUGGACGAGAGUCUGAACCAGCCAAGUAGCGUGAAGGAUGACUGCCCUAUGGGUUGUAAACUUCUUUUAUAAAGGAAUAAAACGAGGCACGUGUGCCUUUUUGUAUGUACUUUAUGAAUAAGGAUCGGCUAACUCCGGACCAUCAGCCGCGGUAAUAAGGAGGAUCCGAGCGUUAUCUGGAUUUAUUUGGUUUAAAGGGAGCGUAGAUGGGUGUUUAAGUCAGAUGUGAAAGUUUGCGGCUCAACCGUAAAAUUGCAAUUGAUACUGGCAGUCUUGAGUACAAGUGAGGUAGGCAGAAUUCGUGGUGUAGCGGUGAAAUGCUUAGAUAUCACGAAGAACCCCGAUUGCGAAGGCAGCUUACUAAACUGUGACUGACAUUGAUGCUCGAAAGUGUGGGUAUCAAACAGGAUUAGAUACCCUUGUAGUC